CAUCCGGUUGAUCCUGCCGGAGUACUACGCUACCCCCAAGGACAAAAGCCAUGCAAGCGGACACGAGGUAUGAAGUGGCGGACGGCUCGGUACAACGGUACGAGUCUGACCGGGGGUGAAGGCUAGACGGAUACCGCUGGCAACCCAGCGCCAAGACGAGUGCUCAAGAGCGGGGAAGGAAAGCACGCGAUGGAGCGAAUGCCCGGAUGAGGUUCCGAGGUAUUACCUAGUCGGUAGAGUAGUGGUCUACGGAGGGGAUGAUGCCUGGCGGAGGAUCAGGGUUUGACUCCGGAGAACGGGCCUGAGAGACGGCCCGUACAUCCAAGGACGGCAGCAGGCGCGGAACUUGCCCAAUGCGUGAAGGCGUGAGGCAGCAACGGGGGAUCCCAUGAAAUGGGAAGACUGGGGGGUAGAUGACCCCAGCACAAGUCGAGGGAAAGGUCUGGUGCCAGCAGCCGCGGUAAUUCCAGCUCGGCAGGCGUCGUACGGCGCUGUUGCAGUUAAAACGUCCGGAGUCGAGACGUCCAGCCGGGAGGAAAGAGGAGCGCUUAAGGCGGGAGUGAGUACGAGAAAGCCCGGGACGGACAUGAAGGUGAAUGGGUAAGGGCAUGUGUAUUGGUGGGGGACGGGUGAAAUAGGAUGAUCCGACCAAGACAGACAAAGGCGUAGGCCUUGCCAAGACCAUAUCAGUCGAACCAGGACGAAGCCCGGGGGCGAGAAGGCGAUUAGACACCACCGUAUUCCCGGGCGUAAACGAUGCCACCGAGAGACUGGCCAGGUCGUCAGGAUCGAAGGGAAACCGAUCAGGGUACGGGCUCUGGGGGAGUAUGGCCGCAAGGCUGGAACUUGAAGGCAUUGACGGAGGGGUACCACCAGACGUGGAGUCUGCGGCUCAAUUUGACUCAACGCGAACACCUUACCAGGCCCAGACGUACGGAGGAUCGACGGUUGAGAGGACCUUCGUGAUCGUACGA
rnacentral:rRNA from 1 species